rnacentral:rRNA from 1 species
CGGUGCAUUAGCUAGUUGGUAGGGUAACGGGCCGUACCGAACGGCGAUGAUGCAUAGCCCGAGUUGAGAGACUGAUCGGCCACAUUGGGGACCUGAGACACGGGCCCAAACUCCUACGGGAGGCAGCAGUAGGGAAUCUUCCACAAUGGACGCAAGUCUGAUGGAGCAAACGCCGCGUGAGUGAAGAAGGGUUUCGGCUCGUAAAAAGCUCUGUUGUUGGUGAAGAAGGACAGGGGUAGUAACUGACCCUUUGUUUGACGGUAAUCAAUUAGAAAGUCACGGGCUAACUACGUGCCAGCAGCCGCGGUAAAU